rnacentral:rRNA from 1 species
UACGUAGGGAGCAAGCGUUGUCCGGUAUUUAUUGGGCGUAAAGAGCUCGUAGGCGGCUUGGCAAGUCUGAUGUGAAACCCCCAGGCUUAACCUGGGGCCGCCAUUCGAUACUGCUAUGGUUUGAGUUCGGUAGGGGAUUGUGGAAUUCCCGGUGUAGCGGUGAAAUGCGCAGAUAUCGGGAGGAACACCAAUGGCGAAGGCAGCAAUCUGGGCCGACACUGACGCUGAGGAGCGAAAGCGUGGGGAGCAAACAGGAUUAAAUACCCUGGUAGCCCACGCCCUAAACGUUGGGCACUAGGUGUGGGACCUACUUCGACGGGUUCCGUGCCGUAGCUAACGCAUUAAGUGCCCCGCCUGGGGAGUACGGCCGCAAGGCUAAAACUCAAAGGAAUUGACGGGGGCCCGCACAAGCGGCGGAGCAUGUGGCUUAAUUCGAUGCAACGCGAAGAACCCCACCUGGGCUUGACAUGUUGGGAAAAGCCGUAGAGAUACGGUGUCCAUUAGGGCCCUUCACAGGUGGUGCAUGGCUGUCGUCAGCUCGUGUCGUGAGAUGUUGAGUUAAGUUCCGCAACGAGCGCAACCCUUGUCUUAUGUUACCAGCGAGUAAUGUCGGGGACUCAUGAGAGACUGCCGGGGUCAACUCGGAGGAAGGUGGGGAUGACGUCAAGUCAUCAUGCCCCUUAUGUCCAGGGCUGCACACAUGCUACAAUGGCCGGUACAGAGGGUCGCAAUCCCGCGAGGGGGAGCUAAUCCCACAAAGCCGGUUUCAGUUCGGAUCGCAGUCUGCAACUCGACUGCGUGAAGCCGGAGUCGCUAGUAAUCCCGAAUCAGCAUUGUCGGGGUGAAUACGUUCCCGGGCCU